GAGCUGCCGCCUCCAGCGCUCCCCGGGUGCGCUCCUCCGCGUGGGGCGGCGGGGCGCCCCGCUGAGGAGCGGCCCGGUCACCGGGGUGGGGGUGGGGGAUCUCGCUUUGCAGCCCGAGCUGGCCUCCAGCGACCCUCCUGUCUCAGCCUUCCGAGGGCUGGGGUUACAGGCCACACCCGGCUGAAAGUUGCGCUUGCAACAUCGUACUUUCAGGACCGCGGCAGCGUCAGUGCGCGAAUGGUUUCCGAAUGCCUGCUUUCUCCCCUCCAGGCAACCCGGAAUUCAUGAGUCUCAAAAGACACAGCCUCAGUGGCCCCUGCCUUUCUCCUGCGGCGUGGGCCUGAGCCGGCGCUUACCUGCCAGCGCUGUAGAUCGCAAGUUCCACCCGCAAGAAACGGCCCUCGACUGGGUACCCAGCGGGGGCCGUGUGCCUCAACGUUAAACUCGUGCGGAGGUCUCGCAUGCUAACCCCGCCCGCUGCCGUAGCCCGACAGCCCGCUGCCGGUCGUGCGCCUGGGGUCAGCCCCGGAACCGUGCCUACCCCAGCCCGGGCCGUCCUGUCUCGUCCAAGUGCCCGUCCCGAGUGCGCGCGCCUCUGAUUCCACCGCCCACGCUGCCCCGGCCUGAAACAGUCUUCGGUGGGGAAAAUGAACCCGCCCCGUGUGAGGGAGAGGGGUGAGCUGAGGUCCCUUUCUCUGGGGACCUGUUCUCCAGCGACAACGGCACCCAGGGGGCGCCGCUUUCCGGCGCGCAGUCUCCCGGCCCAUCCCGGCCCCGUGCUGCUGGGGAGGACUGCUUCUGCACUAGGCCGGCCGGAGAUCUGGCCUGUCCUUGCCACCUGAGUGACCCCAACCGCCGGCGUGGGCCCGAUGCGGAGCAGGCAGGAUCUUUUGUUGAAACGGUGGCUUUUCACAGGCUCUCGGGCACCGUCUUAGGUGGCCCGGCGCGGGCUGGGAUGCUGCACAGCCCCUGCCCUGUGAUCUUGGGUCUGCAGCGCCUGCAGGGAAAAUCAUCCCGCUCUGUCUAAGCAGGGCUUUCGCUUGGCUUUGGCGGGAAGGCGGCCUGCCUGCGCGUUGGGAGCUAGCGUGACCCCCGCCCUGCGGGCUGCGCCCACCCCUCCCGCCGCGACCCUCUGGGUCCUCGGUGGUGAAAGCGCUGGGCUGAGCUGCGAGGUUUCCCCACCUGCCAGAGGGGGCGGCGUCGCCCGGACAGGCUGGCUCCUUAGCACCCCUUUGGGCUGGGAGGGGAGCCAAGGGGGCCUGAGCAGCUGGCCGGCACCGAACAGCCUGGGGUGCAAGUGAUGGGAGGAACUCGGGCCCUCCUGCCUCGGCUCUCUCCUGGCCCCGGCGGGGACAGGGACGAGGAGGUGGGGGUGCCCGCCCUGCGCCCCACACCCCACACGGCUGCGCCUGGCCGGCCCUCAACCCCUCUGCUGACUCCUCUGCUCGGGGCAUCACCGGGCCCCACGCCCACAGGUAAACUGAGGACGGAGGAGCCCACGACAGGAUCCUGUGAACUCAGCACUGCGUCCCUGCCGGCCUCGCCCUCAGCCCUGCCAGUCCGGGGAGCAGCGAAACCGCAGACCGAUUUCAUGGCAGAUCUGUUCUCUCCACAACCUUAGCAGCAUCAGCGUUCGACUCUGCCCUGCCUUAUGCGGACAGCGCCACCCCCUCCCCGGGGAGGAAGCACCCGAUGGCCUCUGGCAUGUCCCCACUCAGGUGGGGACUGAGCUAUAAAACAAGCACAUGGAGGGGCAGGGGAUUUAGCUCAGUGGUACAGCACCUGCCUGGCAAGCGCAAGGUCGUGAGUUCGGUUCCCGGUACCAGAGGAAAAAAAAUAGAAAAAACAAACAAACAAGCACAUGGGACAAAGCACCUGGGUGAUGCUGUGACAGUCGACCAGAUGGCCCAGCCCAGGUGGCUGCUAGGGGACAAACUGGUGGGCGGCUCCUAGGGGUCGGGUAUGUCAGCAGCUUUGCUCACAAUACUCCAAGUGGCACAAGAUUUAAGACAUUGGUGUACUCUGGGAGUUUCCGAUGUCUCUUUGAGACCAAGCCUGGCUGCAUGUGAUGGAAUCUGUGCAAGAAGAGCACUCCAACAUGUCCGUCUGUCCACCUCCA